rnacentral:rRNA from 1 species
GAUCCUGGCUCAGGACGAACGCUGGCGGCGCGCCUAACACAUGCAAGUCGAACGAGAGAGAGGGAGCUUGCUUCCUUGAUAGAGUGGCGAACGGGUGAGUAACGCGUGAGGAACCUGCAUCAAAGAGGGGGACAACAGUUGGAAACGACUGCUAAUACCGCAUAAGCCCACGGUGCCGCAUGGCACAGAGGGAAAAGGAGCAAUCCGCUUUGAGAUGGCCUCGCGUCCGAUUAG